CCAUCAGUCCUUUUCAGGACUACACACCCUCAAGAAAGAAAGAUU
rfam:Strongylocentrotus purpuratus Contig98755_fixed, whole genome shotgun sequence.